rnacentral:misc_RNA from 1 species
UUCCUUCCCCCUGGCUCUUCUUGGUACUGUUUUUGGGAGAAACUGGAGUGGCGCUCCAAACAAUCCAUGCCGUGUCAAGACCAUACCUCGGCCUAUUCCCGAAAAGAAGUGGUAUCUGACACCAUCUGUAGUUUCCUUGAUGGGAGGAUUGCUGCCAUUUGGAAGCAUAUUUAUUGAGAUGUAUUUUGUCUUCACCUCCUUCUGGAAUUACAAGGUAUACUAUGUGUAUGGAUUUAUGCUUCUGGUGUUUCUGAUCCUCAUUAUUGUUACGGUCUGCGUGACUAUUGUGGGAACAUAUUUCCUACUAAAUGCUGAAAAUUAUCAUUGGCAGUGGACUUCGUUUUCCUCAGCUGCCUCUACCGCUGUCUAUGUAUACCUGUACUCUGUAUAUUAUUAUUAUGUGAAGACUAAGAUGUCAGGGUUCUUUCAGACCAGCUUCUACUUUGGCUAUACACUGAUGUUUUGUCUUGGCUUAGGGAUUCUCUGCGGAGCUGUUGGAUUUUUGGGCUCUAACCUAUUUGUGAGGAGGAUUUAUAGAAACAUCAAAUGUGACUGAUUUUCUUUGGAAGGAUAGAGUUCAAUGUCCUUAUUUACGUGGUCAGUGGCUGUGAGGUCAAGAAGAGUAUCAAGUAUCUUCAUGGGGUUAUUCAGUCAACUGCUGG